rnacentral:rRNA from 1 species
GACGAACGCUGGCGGCGUGCUUAACACAUGCAAGUCGAACGGAAAGGCCCUGCUUGUGUGGGGUGCUCGAGUGGCGAACGGGUGAGUAACACGUGAGUAACCUGCCCCUGACUUUGGGAUAACUUCAGGAAACUGGGGCUAAUACCAGAUAGGAGCUCCUGCUGCAUGGGGGGGGUUGGAAAGGGUCGGCGGUUGGGGAUGGACUCGCGGCUUAUCAGCUUGUUGGUGGGGUAGUGGCUUACCAAGGCUUUGACGGGUAGCCGGCCUGAGAGGGUGACCGGCCACAUUGGGACUGAGAUACGGCCCAGACUCCUACGGGAGGCAGCAGUGGGGAAUAUUGCACAAUGGGCGGAAGCCUGAUGCAGCAACGCCGCGUGCGGGAUGACGGCCUUCGGGUUGUAAACCGCUUUCGCCUGUGACGAAGCGUGAGUGACGGUAAUGGGUAAAGAAGCACCGGCUAACUACGUG